CGGUAACAGGUCAAAAGUAACAGGUCCACCGACUGGGUGCUCACUGUUCUUAAGGAGUGGUAAUUGGAGAUGGCUGGUCUGCUGUGGCCACCACUAACAGGAGCAGCCUGUCUUUUUAUCAUGAAUAGUUUUAAUGUCCAUUAUACUGCCUUCAAGAGCUCAUAUGAUUCCUCAUAUGAUUGUUGUGAAAUGCCUGUGCUGACUGCUUUGACUGAGCUUUUUGGACAGGAAUGAUGCUUGAUGUUGGUGUGGAAAUAAACAAUCCCAGUCAAAUAGUGCAGAGGAAAGGAAAAAAGUAUAUUUGAGACGCCCUUAUCCAGAGCGACUUACAAUCAGUUGUUACAGGGGACAGUCCCCCUGGAGCAUCUUAGGGUUUCUUAAGUGUCUUGCUCAGGGACACAAUGGUAGUAAGUGGGAUUUGAACCUGGGUCUUCUGGUUCAUAGGCGAGUGUGUUAUUCACUAGGCUACUACCACGUCAUCACUACCAGCGCAUCAUUUUAUGCUUAUAUGUGUAUCUGCAUAUGUGUGUGGCAGGAGCCUCCAGUCUCUUCGCAGGCUGUGCUGAUAAUUCAUAUCACCUCGGCUCAAGGUUUUACCAAAUUUCUUCAGCCUGCGGACAGGGCUGAAUCCCGGCUCAGUUUUCCAUUAAACAUUAAGAGCAAAGUUUAAACUGGAUCAUAAGAGCAUAUACAUUUCCCAGUACGAUGUGUUCACCUUGUGCAGUCCCAGUCAAUGUCCACUGAGAGGCGAUACAGACAAGGAAAUAAAUACACUAGAAAGAUGAGCUUCAUGAUGUAUGUCACAUGCCUAUUUAAACAAGUGAGUUGGUCCAUGAGACUGUCACAAAGUUAAGUAAAAACAUUUAAAGUACAUUAAAGAGUGACAAUAUAGUUUUACUAGAUACAACAUUCAUUCAUCUCUACAUGACAUGUAAAGCUGUUCAUUCAUAAAAGAAUGAUGAGAAGGAUGAUCAAUAGAAAUGAACAGCACCUGAGUUAUAUAAGUGUCAGAGCAAAGGGUCUGAAUACUUAGGACCAUGUGAUAUUUCAGUUUUUCUUUGUUAAUAAGUCUGCAAAAAAAUGUCAACAAUUCUGUGUUUUUCUGUCAAUAUGGGGUGCUGUGUGUACAUUAAUGAGGGGAAAAUGAACUUAAAUGGUUUUAGCAAAUGGCUGCAAUAUGACAAAGACUGAAAAAAUUAAGGUGGCCUGAAUGCUUUCCAUACCCACUGUAUAUUUGGCUAUUCUGUUCAAGAGCAAUUACUGCAAAUACGUUUCUUUAAGUUUCUGCUUAUUACACUACUUUAUUAGAUGGAGAUUGCAUCAAAUACUCUUUUAUUCACAACAAAACAAACCCCAUAACCAACCACUGCUGGUCUGUAACAAUUUAAAUGUUUCAAUCUUGUAAUUUUCAGUUUUUCAGUAUAAAAGUUGAACAAAUUUGUGCCCUUUUUGUUUUCUUCAGAUAUGCAAAGACACCCUGUACAUGGUCUCAGUUUGUUUUUAAAAGAGCAUCAUGGUAUUUUUUUAAGAAUAUGAAAUGCCAUAAUCACUGCUGCAUUCACUGACUGUAAAACGUUCCAUUACAAUAGUUUCCAUACCUGUUCAUCUUCUAUUUCAAUUUGCCAUUAGGUGCAUUGAUUAGCCUUGGCAUGUCCACAUUCAGUUCUAUUUCAAUGUGCACCAUGACACAGAAUGUGUUUUUUUCAAUUGUUUUUGAAAAUAUGUGUUAUGCAAAAGCCCAAACUAAAGACAACACAUUGGGGGGAAAUGUCUAGUAAUUCAUUGUGUCUUCAAAUUCUUCCUGUGGAUUCAUACCAUAGCGCAAAACUGUUCCGUCCAUGAACGCCCAGGCCAUUCUCUGUGUGGUGAAUUUAGCUGCCCAUUCCGCUGGAAGGGCAUACCACAAUUGCCCCUCCUGCACCAUGGACUCAGAGGCUGAUUUACCUAUAAAAGGACAAGACAACUUCAUCACACCCUGCUUUUUGUGUAAUAUUGAUAAUAUAUAAUCUAUUUUAGCACCUGAACAUAGCAUGGAAGUAACACAAGCCUUGCUUGACAUGACAUAAAAUGUUUUAGUAAAUGCAGAGUAAAUGUAAUUGCCCAUCCUGGUAAAAAAGAGACUACCUGAAAGAUUGAUGAUGGCCUAUGUUGAGCAAGAAGGAAUAACAAGAAGAAAAACUUUUCGGUCCUGCAAUGCGGCCAGUAAAAUCAGCUCCUCAGUCAAAGUCAGAGCAAAGCGGAUCCUGCACGCCACAAAUGUAACAAGAUAAUAAAUGUAAACCUGGACCCAGACACAGGGAACCUGUUUUUACCAUUUUCCCCAGUCAUUACCAAAGCAUUUCAGAGCAAACAAUGGACCUGCUGACCCGUCAGAAUGCCGUGCCUCAUUAUUGUCCCGACGACGGCUGCGGUUUGCACAGUCGCCCUUCC
ensembl:lncRNA